CAAGGUUUCUCCGUCAUACACUGCACACCUCUAAAAAUCUAAUUUCACCAGCGAUUGACCGAGGACCUUAAUAUCCACUACGAGCAAGCGUGCAUUUCACUGAAGGACUCCGAUUGCAAUUUAGUCGAGGUUAAAGAUUCAUGCUUCAAGAAUGGUGUCAACCCAGAAUUGGGCGCAAUUAGAAAGCAUAAGAAACGGCACGGUAAGUAGAAGCGUCAUCAAAGCUAUGGUAUCAGGCGUCUAGCGACUGUCUUACGUAGGACGUUUCCGAUGUACAAAAAGUGACUGCGUACCGCCAGCAUAAAGGUUUUCGGACGUUUUAACGUUUCCUAUACACACGAAAAUUAUGACCGUCAUCAUCAUCAUUCUCAUGUUUAUUGGCGGGGGAUAGCAGAGUGUCAUCCUAAUCACAACAAUUGCUCUUUUAGCAGUUGUCGUCUAUCUUCUUAGCUUAAAUUGAUAUAGUCGGAAGUACAUUACGCAUCCUUUGUAAAUGUAUAGGUUUCUUUUUUCUCUUUCAGAAAACGGCAAAAAAAGGGUGACCCCUGAAGUCUCUGUUCUGACCAAUGUCUGGAUAAUCACGACGACGACUAUGGUGGCAACUGUGAUGAUGAUAGUGAUUUAUUUUGACGGCGCGGUGUCGUCGUCGUCGUCGUCGUCGUUCGUUCUGCGGUUCUAUAAGCAAAAAGAAAACGCGCUACUGACCGUCGAUUUCGGUGUUUCUGUAGGACCACGUCAUAACUCUCCAGCGCAGUUUGAGCCCCGGUGUCAUAUGGGCUCUUCCUUUCGAGCCACCACUGACCUGGGCGCGUUAUCGUUAGCAGAGAUUCAUCUGUGUCAAGUUGGUAGUUUAAAAAGUACACUUGCCUCAAAAAAUGGUAUAGUAAAAAAUCAUUGAAACACCACCAAAUGUUGUUAGACGAUUUUCUCUAUUUCGUAAAGGAUAAUGCCACGGAAUAAUGCAACGCAUCUUCGCCUGCGCUGGCUCGGCACAUAUCUCGGAAGCACCAAGCGACUGGGUACUUCAGUUCGAUAUUUUGAGACUUUUUACAUUUACCGACGCUGUUCUUAUUUGUUGAACGAAAAAACGGACGGAACAGUACUUCUGUUACAAUAUAAAUA